rnacentral:rRNA from 1 species
AGCUCUACCUUAGUUUACCCAUAACAUCAAAUUAUAUAUAAGACUUAAGAGCUAUUCAAAUAAGGCACAGCUUAUUUGAAACAGAACACAACCUCCAAUACUGGGUUAAUAUAGGUUAUUAUAACCAAGUGGGCCUAAAAGCAGCCACCUUAUAGAAAGCGUUAAAGCUCAACUAUACAUUUACCUUAAAUUUCAAAAUCUAUCUUCAACCCUUAAUUACUACUGAACUAUUUUAUAUUCUUAUAAAAAAAAUUAUGCUAGAACUAGUAACAAGAAUUAGCCCUUCUCCAAAAUGUAAGCUUAAGCCAAAAUGGACAUCCCAUCGGCAAUUAACGCAAAUGUAAUUAUUAUAGCAACAUAUACUAGCAAACCCUAUAACUACUAGCGUCGACCUAACACCAGAACAUUUCAGGAAAGAUUAAAAGAGAAAGAAGGAACUCGGCAAAUCUCAGCCCCGCCUGUUUACCAAAAACAUCGCCUCUUGCUUAAACAUAAGAGGUCCAGCCUGCCCAGUGAUAUAAUUCAACGGCCGCGGUACCCUAACCGUGCGAAGGUAGCAUAAUCACUUGUUCUUUAAAUAAGGACUUGUAUCAACGGCAUCACGAGGACUGUACUGUCUCCUUUCUCCAAUCAGUGAAACUGAUCUCCCCGUGAAGAAGCGGGGAUUAACCUAUAAGACGAGAAGACCCCAUGGAGCUUAAAGCCCACACAACUCUAUGCACUUAAAUCAAUACAGCCCAAGAAACCUGCAAACGGCUUUAGGUUGGGGGGACCGCGGAGUAAAAACUAACCUCCACGACAAACGGGCCUACGCCCUUAUCCAAGAAUGACAAUUCUAAGAAUCAAUAAACUGAUGUUUAAUGACCCGAUUAUUCGAUCAACGAACCAAGUUACCCUGGGGAUAACAGCGCAAUCUACUUCAAGAGCCCCUAUCAACAAGUAGGUUUACGACCUCGAUGUUGGAUCAGGGUAUCCUAGUGGUGCAGCCGCUACUAAAGGUUCGUUUGUUCAACGAUUAAAACCCUACGUGAU